rnacentral:rRNA from 1 species
AAUCAACGCUGGCGGCGUGCCUAACACAUGCAAGUUGAACGCGAAAGGGGAGCAAUCCCUGAGUAGAGUGGCAAACGGGUGAGUAACACGUGGGUGACCUGCCUUCGAGUGGGGGAUAACGUUCCGAAAGGAACGCUAAUACCGCAUGACAUCCUGCUUUUGGAAAAGCGGAGAUCAAAGCUGGGGAUUCGCAAGAACCU